UAAAGAUUCAUCGCUGAUAGAUAGGCAUGCGUUCCAUUAGGCAGUUGGCGGGGUAACGGCCCACCAAACCGACGAUGGAUAGGGGUUCUGAGAGGAAGGUCCCCCACAUUGGUACUGAGACACGGACCAAACUCCUACGGGAGGCAGCAGUGAGGAAUAUUGGUCAAUGGGCGCGAGCCUGAACCAGCCAAGUCGCGUGAGGGAUGAAGGUUCUAUGGAUCGUAAACCUCUUUUAUAAGGGAAUAAAGUGUGGGACGUGUCCUAUUUUGUAUGUACCUUAUGAAUAAGGAUCGGCUAACUCCGUGCCAGCAGCCGCGGUAAUACGGAGGAUCCGAGCGUUAUCCGGAUUUAUUGGGUUUAAAGGGUGCGUAGGCGGCCUUUUAAGUCAGCGGUGAAAGUCUGUGGCUCAACCAUAGAAUUGCCGUUGAAACUGGGGGGCUUGAGUAUGUUUGAGGCAGGCGGAAUGCGUGGUGUAGCGGUGAAAUGCUUAGAUAUCACGCAGAACCCCGAUUGCGAAGGCAGCCUGCCAAGCCAUGACUGACGCUGAUGCACGAAAGCGUGGGGAUCAAACAGGAUUAGAUACCCUGGUAGUCCACGCAGUAAACGAUGAUCACUAGCUG
rnacentral:rRNA from 1 species